AUUUUAUUCGGGGAUGGUUUCAAAAGCCAUGCACAGAUCACCAGAAAUGGCUUUACUUCCCUCGAUAGAUAAUUUCUCUCGUUAAAAUGCCAAAAUAAAAAAUAUAUAUCGUUGUGCAAAUAGUUUUGAACCUUUUGUCAUGUCCACCAAUUAAUGAUAAUUGCAUUGUCUAUUUGCACACAACGAAAUCUUAUAAAGAUAUAAUCAAAAUAAGAGAGAGAUAUAAUCAAAAUAAGAAAGAUCAAGUACAAAGAUGAUAUCGAAUAUAUAAAUAUGUAAUAGUAAUCCACAUAGAAGAACGGCCAGCUAUACAACAGUGUUACACUACUACAAUCCGAUGCACAAACAUUAAAAAUGAGCCACAGGGAAACAGUACAGAAGAUAAAACUUCUGUUUCUUAUUUCAUAACUAUUUGUCUAAAUAAACCUAGCUAGCUAGCUAGAUUCAGUUGGUUGGUGGACGCUUAUGAGGUGGCUUCUCUUUCUUUCCUUUGCGUGAGUCCUCAACUACUUCUUCCUCAGCCAGAAGAUGUCCGUGUGGUGGCUUGUGUUUUGGAGGUGGCUUCUCUCCCUUUCCUUUGU
rnacentral:misc_RNA from 1 species